GAUGAACGCUGGCGGCGUGCCUAAUACAUGCAAGUCGAGCGAACAGACGAGGAUCUUGCUCCUCGGACGUUAGCGGCGGACGGGUGAGUAACACGUGGAUAACCUACCUAUAAGACUGGUAUAACUUCGGGAAACCGGAGCUAAUACCGGAUAAUAUAUUGAACCGCAUGGUUCAAUAGUGAAAGACGGUUUUGCUGUCACUUAUAGAUGGAUCCGCGCCGCAUUAGCUAGUUGGUAAGGUAACGGCUUACCAAGGCAACGAUGCGUAGCCGACCUGAGAGGGUGAUAGGCCACCCUGGAACUGAGCCACGGUCAAGAGUACUACGGGAGGGAGCAGUAGGGAAUCUUCCGCAAUAGGCGAAAGCCUGACGGAGCAACGGCGCGUGAGUGAUGAAGGUCUUCGGAUCGUAAAAAUCUGUUACUAGGGAAGAACAAAUGUGUAAGUAACUAUGCACGUCUUGACGGUACCUAAUCAGAAAGCCACGGCUAACUACGUG
rnacentral:rRNA from 1 species